UGGAUCACCUCCUAACAGGGAGACAAACAACGAUUUUGAUGUCUGAGUUUAUUUAUUCUUAGGCCAAAAUCCUGUCACCUUAGGUCGAUCGGUACCUCAACUUUGAAGCUGAGAGUGUCCAGCAAUGGAUCUCUGCUUAGUGGAGAUUUUUAGUUCCUAAACUUUGUCUAGUUCACAACCCAUUAGGGAUGAGACUCCUGGGCCAUUAGCUCAGGUGGUUAGAGCGCACCCCUGAUAAGGGUGAGGUCCCUGGUUCAAGUCCAGGAUGGCCCAUUCGGUGUAGGGGGUUUAGCUCAGUUGGUAGAGCGCCUGCUUUGCAAGCAGGAUGUCAGGAGUUCGAGUCUCCUAACCUCCACUGACUACCAAGAAUCCCCAUCUCCAAAGUCUGGAGUAUGAACUCGUAUGGAUUGUGAUUUAGAUGUGUCCGCUAGAUGACCCUAGCUUCUUGUCAUUUUAAGGCAUGGAAAAGAUUCCAUGAUAUUUAAUUGAUAGGAUGCUGGGCUCGAUGCAAUGUAUUGAGAGAUCAAUGCAUUGUUUUGAUGUCUGGUCGAACCUUGACAACUGCAUAGUAAGUCUGGAAAGAAUAAAGCAUCUUUAUGGAUGCAUCAUUCUUGAGUGUUAAUUCACGAUGGGAUGGUGUUAAUUCUAAAGCAAGAGCCGAGACUCCAGCAUGUUCUUUCAAAUGUGUCGAGCAUUUGAGAGUUUGAUUUUAAUUUCUAUUUUUUAGAAGUUAGAAGAAUCUGUUUCAACGACAGCAAGCGUGUUGGAGAUACAUUGGUCAAGCUACAAAGGGCUCACGGCGGAUACCUUGGCACACAGAGGCGAUGAAGG
rnacentral:tRNA from 1 species